CCCAUUUAUUUAUAUUAAUUAUAUUAGUUUUUAUUACUGCAAAAUGUUAUUUUUAUAAUUUUCAACAAAAUAAAACUUACUGCCCUGUAUUAUGAUACUGUUAUGCCUUUACGUAGGCAACCCCGCUUUACUCCACCUUCUGUUGUGCGGCCAUUUUUUCCCCAUAUCAAGCCAACUACAUCUGUAAAUUGUCAUCGUAAUAACCAUAUUGUGGCUAGUAGAAACAUCGUAUCGAGACAAAUGAUCAAAGUGGAAAAUUACACGAAACAUACUGGACAGUGGGGGAGAGUGGGUUGGCAACACUUGACAGUUCCCGACCUCCAACGCCGUUAAA